GUGCUUGCUAAGGCUGCACAUAUACUAAAAUUGGAUCGAUACAGAGAAGAUUAGCAUGGCCCCUGCGAAAGGAUGACACACAAAUCCGUGAAGCAUUCCAUAUUUGG
ensembl:snRNA U6 U6 spliceosomal RNA